GACUUCUCUCUUUUACUUUUUGCUCCAAAACAUUUUCUCUGGGGCUCAACUGGCGAAUUCACUUCAUUCAAUCAGCUGACAUCGAACAAACAACAACAGAAUCAGCUGAGUUAUUUGAACAAGAGCUUUUUUAAAUUAAUUUCCAAAAAAAGCUCCUUAAAACCGUGAAAAAGUUUCUUGUGAAAAAGAACUUUCCAAGUGCGCGCAAUUUUUCCACAAUUACGUAAAAAGAUCGUAAGAGCCACUCCAAUCGAUUGCAUUUUGAGUUGUUGGUUGAGGAGAGGCGCAAGUGGUUGAGGAAUUGGUGUAAUUUGUGUUCCAAGGACUUGAGGACAAACUCUCCAGCAGCCAAGAGCAUCCCAGUCAGUUGAGUGAAAAAAUCCCUGGAAAGUGGAACUCUGAGCAAAUAAUUCAGCGAGGGAAUCUUCGUUGGAGAACAAUUGCUAUUGAAGCGGGCUUUUGUGUGGAGAAAAGCUGCUGAAAUGACUUCGCCGGCGAUAAAGUCGAAGAGGAAGGGAAGCCGCCAGUCGGUUGGUUCCACAUUGAAUGGAACUCCAUCUGGCUGUGGAGCUGUUGUGCGGAGUUCGGGCUUUUUCAACUGGCUGCGUGUCUUUCGUUUAGCCAAUCUCAUGAUCCAGCAAGGUUGCUAAAAAAAAGCCCCACCGCAUGGAAAAUCUAGUUGAGAAAGCUCCGGCGCAGUUGAACCGAGAGAGUGAGGAGAAAAUCAACGGCAUAUCGAGAGGAAAUGGCCACAAAUUGAAUUGGAGGAGGAUGUAGUGCAAUAGUAGAUACAGAAAAAAAAACUAUCAAUAGGACAAAUGAUUUGAUGAGAAAAUCAAUAUCAGAGUUAAUAUAGAUGCAGAGAAUGUAGAUAGAGAGAAUCUGUUCUUCUCGACUUUCAAGUCGAAUUUUGUAGAUAUUUGCGCCUGGAUUUUCCAUUUUUAAAUUUUUAAAUUUCCGUCGGUUUUUUUUUUUUUGAAUUCUCUUCGAUCGUUUUUCUUUUGCAAUAAUUGAAAUUAGUGCGCAAUUGAUGCAAUAAAUUGUAUUUAUUUCACAUGUUCAAUUUUAAGUGAAUGAAUGUAAUAAAUGAAAAAAUUAUAGUGAAAUGCAGAAAGAAAUAAAGCAAACUUUAUGAGGUUGAUCAAGAA